GUUCCCAAUUGCCUAUGUCAGUGCCACAACAGCCUGUAUGGCAUGCCCACUUGACUAUUGUCAUAUAUUUCAUGUUUUGCUGCACAAAUACCAUGUCCAUUGCAUGAUUUGUUUUGAAAUUUCAUUUUGCAGAUUUCACUUUGGGAUGGCAUUAUAGCUUCUAAAGAGCAUGCAAAGUUUUGGACACAUACCUCUAACAAGUAUCGUUUUAUUGAUCAGGGAAGCAACCUUCGUGGUAAAGAGUUUAACUUGGCAUUGCAUUGGCAUGUCAUGCCCAAGACUGGCAAGAUGUUUGCUGACAAACUAGUCAUGUCCGGAUACUGCUUGCCGAAGGAAUAUAGAUGAGGUUUCUUGUGUAUGUUGUUGCUGUAACUUCAGCCUUUUUGAUAUGGGGAUACAAAAGGUCAACCGAAUUAGGUCACAAACAGGCAAAGUUACAUGUUUUAGAGACAGAAAAUGAAUAUUGCUUACAAUUUUAGACCCACAAAAUAUUGUUGCCAGUUAUCUGUUUCUUGCUCCUGCCCCACAUCCUUUUGCCCCAUUCUCACAUAAGGCAUACCCAUAAAACUCAGUUACUGAACAGACUUACCUAUCAAAACACACUUUUUUAUUUUUAUAGGCCUUUCUAGUUUCUAGGCUGACUAGUCAAAGCAUGGAAUUAAUUGCCAA